rnacentral:rRNA from 1 species
UACGUAGGGGGCAAGCGUUGUCCGGAAUUAUUGGGCGUAAAGAGCGUGUAGGCGGCCAGGUAGGUCGGCUGUGAAAACUCGAGGCUCAACCUCGAGAUGUCGGCCGAAACCAUCUGGCUAGAGUCCGGAAGAGGAGAGUGGAAUUCCCGGUGUAGCGGUGAAAUGCGCAGAUAUCGGGAAGAACACCCGUGGCGAAGGCGGCUCUCUGGGACGGUACUGACGCUGAGACGCGAAAGCGUGGGGAGCGAACAGG